rnacentral:rRNA from 2 species
UUUAUAUGAGAGUUUGAUCCUGGCUCAGGAUGAACGCCGGCGGUGUGCCUAAUACAUGCAAGUCGUACGCACUGGCCCAACUGAUUGAUGGUGCUUGCACCUGAUUGACGAUGGAUCACCAGUGAGUGGCGGACGGGUGAGUAACACGUAGGUAACCUGCCCCGGAGUGGGGGAUAACAUUUGGAAACAGAUGCUAAUACCGCAUAACAACAAAAGCCACAUGGCUUUUGUUUGAAAGAUGGCUUUGGCUAUCACUCUGGGAUGGACCUGCGGUGCAUUAGCUAGUUGGUAAGGUAACGGCUUACCAAGGCGAUGAUGCAUAGCCGAGUUGAGAGACUGAUCGGCCACAAUGGAACUGAGACACGGUCCAUACUCCUACGGGAGGCAGCAGUAGGGAAUCUUCCACAAUGGGCGCAAGCCUGAUGGAGCAACACCGCGUGAGUGAAGAGGGUUUCG